rnacentral:misc_RNA from 2 species
CCCAUCUACUCCUUCGGGAUUGCGGGGGGCGGAUGAUGGCCUCCCGUGCGCCUCGUCGCGCGGUUGGCAUAAAUGCCAAGUCCUCGGCGACGCACGCCACGACAAUCGGUGGUUGCGAAACCUCGGUUGCCCGUCGUGUGCGGUCGUCGCGCAUCGAGGGCUCG